GUAGGUGGCAAGCGUUGUCCGGAAUUACUGGGCGUAAAGCGCGCGCAGGCGGUUCUUUAAGUCUGAUGUGAAAGCCCACGGCUCAACCGUGGAGGGUCAUUGGAAACUGGAGAACUUGAGUACAGAAGAGGAAAGCGGAAUUCCACGUGUAGCGGUGAAAUGCGUAGAGAUGUGGAGGAACACCAGUGGCGAAGGCGGCUUUUCUGGUCUGUAACUGACGCUGAGGCGCGAAAGCGUGGGGAGCAAACAGGGAUUAGAUACCCUGGUAGUCCACGCCGUAAACGAUGAGUGCUAAGUGUUAGGGGGUUUCCGCCCCCUUAGUGCUGCAGCUAACGCAUUAAGCACUCCGCCUGGGGAGUACGGCCGCAAGGCUG
rnacentral:rRNA from 1 species